CCCGGCGACCGGCGCACGGUGAGUAACGCGUAUGCAACUUACCUAUCAGAGGGGGAUAACCCGGCGAAAGUCGGACUAAUACCGCAUGAAGCAGGGGCCCCGCAUGGGGAUAUUUGCUAAAGAUUCAUCGCUGAUAGAUAGGCAUGCGUUCCAUUAGGCAGUUGGCGGGGUAACGGCCCACCAAACCGACGAUGGAUAGGGGUUCUGAGAGGAAGGUCCCCCACAUUGGUACUGAGACACGGACCAAACUCCUACGGAAGGCAGCAG
rnacentral:rRNA from 1 species